GGUCAGGCCUGGCUGGGCUGUGGCAACAGGCGGCGGUUUCGGGAGGCUCUGCCCUGGCGGAGGUGCCGGCUGUGUCACCACGACGGGCACUGGUUUGGAGGGGCUCUGGCACGGCGGAGCGGCCGCCUGUGCUGUUGUGACGGGUGUUGGUUUCGACUGGCUCUGGGGAAGGGGGCUUGCCGAUUUCACCUCGACGGUGGGCGCUGGUUUUGUGAGGCUCUGCUGCGACGGGGUUCCCGAUUUCAUCUCGACAACAGGCAUUGCUUUGGGCAGGCUCUGCUGUGACGGUGUUGCCAAUCUUGCCUCGACAACAGGCAUUGCUUUGGGCAGGCUCUGCUGUGACGGUGUUGCGGAUUUCACCUCGACAACAGGCACUGCAUUUGGGAGGCUCUGCUCUGACGGUGUUGCUGACUUCACCUCGACAACAGGCAUUGCUUUGGGCAAGCUCUGCUGCGACGGUGUGGCCGAUUUCACCUCAUCGGGCGUUGCCUUUGGUGGGCUCUGCUGCGACGGUGUGGCCGAUUUCACCUCAUCAGGCGUUGCCUUUGGCGGACUCUGCUGCGACGGCGUUGCUGACUUCACCUCAUCAGGCGUUGCCUUUGGCGGACUCUGCUGUGACGGCGUUGCUGACUUCACCUCGACAACGGGCAUUGCUUUGGGCAGGCUCUGCUGUGACGCUGUUGCCAAUCUCGGCUCGACAACAGGCAUGGCCUUGGGCAGGCUCAGCUGUGAUGGUGUUGCCAAUCUUGGCUCAACAACAGGCAUGGCCUUUGGCAGGCUCGGCUGCGACUG
rnacentral:lncRNA from 1 species